UACGUAGGGGGCCAGCGUUGUUCGGAAUUACUGGGUGUAAAGGGUUCGUAGGCGGUGUGGCAAGUCGGGAGUGAAAUCUCUGGGCUCAACUCAGAGGCUGCUUCCAAAACUGCUGUGCUGGAGUGUGGGAGAGGCGCGUGGAAUUGCAGGUGUAGCGGUGAAAUGCGUAGAUAUCUGCAGGAACACCCGUGGCGAAAGCGGCGCGCUGGACCGUUACUGACGCUGAGGAACGAAAGCUAGGGGAGCAAACAGGAUUAGAUACCC
rnacentral:rRNA from 1 species